CACGUAGGCACCAAGCGUUGUCCGGAAUUAUUGGGCGUAAAGAGCUCGUAGGCGGUUUGUCGCGUCUGCUGUGAAAACCCGAGGCUCAACCUCGGGCCUGCAGUGGGUACGGGCAGACUAGAGUGCGGUAGGGGAGAUUGGAAUUCCUGGUGUAGCGGUGAAAUGCGCAGAUAUCAGGAGGAACACCGGUGGCGAAGGCGGGUCUCUGGGCCGAUACUGACGCUGAGGAGCGAAAGCGUGGGGAGCGAACAGG
rnacentral:rRNA from 1 species